rnacentral:rRNA from 1 species
UACGAAGGGGGCUAGCGUUGCUCGGAAUUACUGGGCGUAAAGCGCACGUAGGCGGUCUUUUAAGUCGAGGGUGAAAUCCUGGAGCUCAACUCCAGAACUGCCUCGAUACUGGAAGACUUGAGUCCGGGAGAGGUGAGUGGAACUGCGAGUGUAGAGGUGAAAUUCGUAGAUAUUCGCAAGAACACCAGUGGCGAAGGCGGCUCACUGGCCCGGUACUGACGCUGAGGUGCGAAAGCGUGGGGAGCAAACAGG